GACGAACGCCGGCGGCGUGCUUAACACAUGCAAGUCGAACGAUGACGCCCGAGCUUGCUCGGUCUGAUUAGUGGCGAACGGGUGAGUAACACGUGAGCAACCUGCCCUUCACUCUGGGAUAACCUCGGGAAAUCGGGGCUAAUACCGGAUAUGAGCUCCUGUCGCAUGGCGGGUGUUGGAAAGUUUUUCGGUGAAGGAUGGGCUCGCGGCCUAUCAGUUUGUUGGUGAGGUAGUGGCUCACCAAGGCGAUGACGGGUAGCCGGCCUGAGAGGGCGACCGGCCACACUGGGACUGAGACACGGCCCAGACUCCUACGGGAGGCAGCAGUGGGGAAUAUUGCACAAUGGGCGAAAGCCUGAUGCAGCGACGCCGCGUGAGGGAUGACGGCCUUCGGGUUGUAAACCUCUUUCAGCAGGGAAGAAGCGAAAGUGACGGUACCUGCAGAAGAAGCGCCGGCUAACUACGUG
rnacentral:rRNA from 1 species